rnacentral:other from 1 species
AGCCCCCUGCUGUGUUAGUGAUUGGCAGAAAGUCCCUGACCCAACACAAAAUCAUGCGGGAGCUCCCUCUUGCCCCGGUGCGCAUGUCAGGAAACUGAAAGCCUAAAGGAGUAACGGAGCGCCCACCUUGAACGAAUCGGUUCAAGACCGCCUGCCGACACGGCAUCAUGCGGGGGACUA